rnacentral:rRNA from 1 species
AUACGGAGGGGGCAAGCGUUGUUCGGAAUUACUGGGCGUAAAGGGCGCGUAGGCGGGUCAGCCAGUCAGGCGUGAAAGCCCCGAGCUCAACUCGGGAACUGCGCUUGAUACUACUGAUCUAGAGUUCGGGAGAGGGUAGUGGAAUUCCCAGUGUAGAGGUGAAAUUCGUAGAUAUUGGGAAGAACACCAGCGGCGAAGGCGGCUACCUGGACCGAUACUGACGCUGAGGCGCGAAAGCGUGGGGAGCAAACAGGAUUAGAAACCCCAGUAGUCC